GCAGCAGUGCAGUAUAAUGGUUAGUGUACUGGGCUUGUAACUCAGGCGUACUGGGUUCGAUUCCCAGCUGGUGCA
rnacentral:tRNA from 1 species